CAGGGCGCAGCUCAGUCUGCGCAGAGCACCUGCCCAAAAGGCAGGAUGCUUGAGCAGGAGCCCGCAGGUUCAAAUCCUGCCGCCCUGA
rnacentral:tRNA from 1 species